CACGUAGGAUCCAAGCGUUAUCCGGAUUUACUGGGCGUAAAGCGCGUGCAGGUGGUUUGUUAAGUUGGGUGUUAAAGCUUCCGGCUCAACCGGGAGUUGUCGCUCAAAACUAGCAGACUAGAGGAUGGUAGAGGAGAGUGGAAUUCCCGGUGUAGCGGUGAAAUGCGCAGAUAUCGGGAGGAACACCAGUGGCGAAGGCGACUCUUUGGCCUAUAACUGACGCUGAGGCGCGAAAGCGUGGGGAGCAAACAGG
rnacentral:misc_RNA from 1 species